GGGGCUCAAUUUGGGUCAAUUGGACUUGGUUGAACUUUUAGGGCAGUUCUGAUACCAACAAUUUCAUCGACAUACCUGUUACGCUAAAAGUGGGUCAGUCUCCGCUCUCGUGUACGUGAGGUAUUAUCCGUUUUGAUCUCUGAUACUAUAGCACGGGGUCUCAUAAUUUUAUCCUUUAAAAAAUACUUCAUGUAAAAGAGAAUGUCUCAUCCCAUAUAUGUCAGAGUCCCUCUUAACUCACCACCAAUGUGGGAUUAAUAUUGCCCUCCC
rnacentral:lncRNA from 1 species